rnacentral:rRNA from 1 species
UGGGGAAUCUUCCGCAAUGGACGAAAGUCUGACGGAGCAACGCCGCGUGAGUGAAGACGGCCUUCGGGUUGUAAAGCUCUGUGAUCCGGGACGAAAGAGCCUGAGGUAAAUAGCCUAAGGAAGUGACGGUACCGGAAAAGCAAGCCACGGCUAACUACGUGCCAGCAGCCGCGGUAAUACGUAGGUGGCAAGCGUUGUCCGGAAUUAUUGGGCGUAAAGCGCGCGCAGGCGGCUUACUAAGUCCAUCUUAAAAGUGCGGGGCUUAACCCCGUGAUGGGAUGGAAACUGGAAAGCUGGAGUAUCGGAGAGGAAAGUGGAAUUCCUAGUGUAGCGGCGAAAUGCGUAGAGAUUAGGAAGAACACCGGUGGCGAAGGCGACUUUCUGGACGAAAACUGACGCUGAGGCGCGAAAGCGUGGGGAGCAAACAGG